rnacentral:rRNA from 1 species
AAGCAGCUUGCUGCUUCGCUGACGAGUGGCGGACGGGUGAGUAAUGUCUGGGAAACUGCCUGAUGGAGGGGGAUAACUACUGGAAACGGUAGCUAAUACCGCAUAACGUCGCAAGACCAAAGAGGGGGACCUUCGGGCCUCUUGCCAUCGGAUGUGCCCAGAUGGGAUUAGCUUGUUGGUGGGGUAACGGCUCACCAAGGCGACGAUCCCUAGCUGGUCUGAGAGGAUGACCAGCCACACUGGAACUGAGACACGGUCCAGACUCCUACGGGAGGCAGCAGUGGGGAAUAUUGCACAAUGGGCGCAAGCCUGAUGCAGCCAUGCCGCGUGUAUGAAGAAGGCCUUCGGGUUGUAAAGUACUUUCAGCGGGGAGGAAGGGAGUAAAGUUAAUACCUUUGCUCAUUGACGUUACCCGCAGAAGAAGCACCGGCUAACUCCGUGCCAGCAGCCGCGGUAAUACGGAGGGUGCAAGCGUUAAUCGGAAUUACUGGGCGUAAAGCGCACGCAGGCGGUUUGUUAAGUCAGAUGUGAAAUCCCCGGGCUCAACCUGGGAACUGCAUCUGAUACUGGCAAGCUUGAGUCUCGUAGAGGGGGGUAGAAUUCCAGGUGUAGCGGUGAAAUGCGUAGAGAUCUGGAGGAAUACCGGUGGCGAAGGCGGCCCCCUGGACGAAGACUGACGCUCAGGUGCGAAAGCGUGGGGAGCAAGCAGGAUUAGAUACCCUGGUAGUCCACGCCGUAAACGAUGUCGACUUGGAGGUUGUGCCCUUGAGGCGUGGCUUCCGGAGCUAACGCGUUAAGUCGACCGCCUGGGGAGUACGGCCGCAAGGUUAAAACUCAAAUGAAUUGACGGGGGCCCGCACAAGCGGUGGAGCAUGUGGUUUAAUUCGAUGCAACGCGAAGAACCUUACCUGGUCUUGACAUCCACGGAAGUUUUCAGAGAUGAGAAUGUGCCUUCGGGAACCGUGAGACAGGUGCUGCAUGGCUGUCGUCAGCUCGUGUUGUGAAAUGUUGGGUUAAGUCCCGCAACGAGCGCAACCCUUAUCCUUUGUUGCCAGCGGUCCGGCCGGGAACUCAAAGGAGACUGCCAGUGAUAAACUGGAGGAAGGUGGGGAUGACGUCAAGUCAUCAUGGCCCUUACGACCAGGGCUACACACGUGCUACAAUGGCGCAUACAAAGAGAAGCGACCUCGCGAGAGCAAGCGGACCUCAUAAAGUGCGUCGUAGUCCGGAUUGGAGUCUGCAACUCGACUCCAUGAAGUCGGAAU